rnacentral:lncRNA from 1 species
AAGAAGAAAAAAAAUACAAUUUAAAACUAAAAAAAGAGUCCAAAAAAAAUUAAAACCGAAAAUAUAAUUUAAUAAAAAGAAUAAAAGAAGAAGAAAAAAUGAAAAACAAAAAAGAAAGAAUAAAAAAAUGAUUUAAAGCAGUAAAAAAAAUACUCUAGGCAAAGUGUUGGGUAUCUUCGCCUAGCCAGGGUUACACCUCUUGUUUCCCGAACCUCAUGUCUUC